AUUGAACGCUGGCGGCAUGCCUUACACAUGCAAGUCGAACGGCAGCACGGGUGCUUGCACCUGGUGGCGAGUGGCGAACGGGUGAGUAAUACAUCGGAACAUGUCCUGUAGCGGGGGAUAGCCCGGCGAAAGCCGGAUUAAUACCGCAUACGAUCUACGGAUGAAAGCGGGGGACCUUCGGGCCUCGCGCUAUAGGGUUGGCCGAUGGCUGAUUAGCUAGUUGGUGGGGUAAAGGCCUACCAAGGCGACGAUCAGUAGCUGGUCUGAGAGGACGACCAGCCAAACUGGGACUGAGACACGGCCCAGACUCCUACGGGAGGCAGCAGUGGGGAAUUUUGGACAAUGGGCGAAAGCCUGAUCCAGCAAUGCCGCGUGUGUGAAGAAGGCCUUCGGGUUGUAAAGCACUUUUGUCCGGAAAGAAAUCCUUGGCCCUAAUACGGUCGGGGGAUGACGGUACCGGAAGAAUAAGCACCGGCUAACUACGUG
rnacentral:rRNA from 1 species